GUGUUGAAAAUCAAUAUAAAAUCCAGUAUUUUUGUUCCCCAUCGAUCUCACUAUCGAUCGACCGCUAUUAUCGUAGCGUCCCCAUCCCGAUUUUCUUUACGCACGUGGAUUUCGCAGUUGCAGCUAAAUGGAUCUAACUCCUCCCACUCGAUGAAAUGCUCCUUGAUGCUCCGGGGUUGCUGGCCCUGGACCCAAGCGCCCUGGAGUCCAGCUUGCCUCCUCGUUUCCGCGACUGCGGCAGCCUUGCGUCGACUUGCCGGCCCGCGUGCCUGGCCCCGCGUCCGUUUGCUGGCCCCGCGUGCCUGGUAUGAUGUUCGCAAGGAUCCCAAAGAAGGUUCAGUGUUUUAGAGUCAGAGCGUCUGCUCAGUUAGAGUUACUUUAUUCGAAUGUUUCUUAUGCGCUCAACUUGGGCUGAGCUGACCUGUAUAUAUAGUACUUAUUAUAUAUAUUAUAUACAUAUAGUUCCAUAUACAUAUACAUAUGUAUGCAGAAGGCAUGCAUAUGUCAUAUAUGGUCUGACCACUUGAGCUGCAAAGUGCAUGCUCAGCAUUCCCACGCUCCGCGAUCGGCUUAUGUAUAAGCGAUAGAUCAUAUUACUUGAGCGCUGGAACACUUGUGUAAUUGUUGGUGGUCUUUUGGGUACUUGAACGUUAUGUUUAUUAUGACAAAGUGUCACAAUGUUUUGAAGAUAUGUUGUACCCAUUAGUUUAGUAUAUUUAUAGGGUAUAGUAUAACUUUAUCUCCUAUUUUUAAUUGAAAAUCUGAAGUUUUCUUAUCAUAAAGUUAUUUUCUAUAAGACUUCGCUUUUUCUAACAUAA